rnacentral:lncRNA from 1 species
AAGGGAUUGAGUAAGGAAUAGGCUUGGAAGAAGAAACUUGGAAAAUAUGGAUUCAUAUUCAAUGGUUGAUAUUACUCUGAACUGAAAGAUAUAAAGGAGAACCUUACUUUCAACAUAUGAUAUGUUCCUUGGAAGGUUUUGAUUUUCCAUGUACAUAGAAUAAAAUUAGGGGUUCAAAGUAAAUAAACAAGAAUUUGUAAAAAUAUCAUAUUAAAGAACAUCAACUUGAUAAUCAUGUAUGUGGUGCUAAUUCU